CUGGCAUUGACCAAUAGAAACAGGCCAAGAUGCCCGGGUGGAUAUAAAGGCAGGCUUGCAUCCGGCUCGGGGUCUUUCCGCCAUUUUGAAGAAUGUAGAAGAAACUCCAAUAAAGCGUGCAUCAGAAGAAUCCUGAGUGUUGCGUGCUCCUUGCUGGCGAGGUGCGCGCGACAAGUGGUGCCGAAACCCGGGAGCGACGACCAUCAUCACCGGCUUCAGUGGAGACCCCUGACUUCAGGAGGAUUCAGAACUGAGACGCAGGAGGGGAGGAUCCACCAACUUUCCGAGAGGUAUUCUCUCUUCUCUUCUGCUCCACCUACUUAUGGUUAGUUCUUUUCACCACCAACA
rnacentral:lncRNA from 1 species